rnacentral:rRNA from 1 species
GCGGGGCGGGCGUGCCUAUACAUGCAAGUCGAACGCUUCUUUCCUCCCGAGUGCUUGCACUCAAUUGGAAAGAGGAGUGGCGGACGGGUGAGUAACACGUGGGUAACCUACCCAUCAGAGGGGGAUAACACUUGGAAACAGGUGCUAAUACCGCAUAACAGUUUAUGCCGCAUGGCAUAAGAGUGAAAGGCGCUUUCGGGUGUCGCUGAUGGAUGGACCCGCGGUGCAUUAGCUAGUUGGUGAGGUAACGGCUCACCAAGGCCACGAUGCAUAGCCGACCUGAGAGGGUGAUCGGCCACACUGGGACUGAGACACGGCCCAGACUCCUACGGGAGGCAGCAGUAGGGAAUCUUCGGCAAUGGACGAAAGUCUGACCGAGCAACGCCGCGUGAGUGAAGAAGGUUUUCGGAUCGUAAAACUCUGUUGUUAGAGAAGAACAAGGACGUUAGUAACUGAACGUCCCCUGACGGUAUCUAACCAGAAAGCCACGGCUAACUACGUGCCAGCAGCCGCGGUAAUACGUAGGUGGCAAGCGUUGUCCGGAUUUAUUGGGCGUAAAGCGAGCGCAGGCGGUUUCUUAAGUCUGAUGUGAAAGCCCCCGGCUCAACCGGGGAGGGUCAUUGGAAACUGGGAGACUUGAGUGCAGAAGAGGAGAGUGGAAUUCCAUGUGUAGCGGUGAAAUGCGUAGAUAUAUGGAGGAACACCAGUGGCGAAGGCGGCUCUCUGGUCUGUAACUGACGCUGAGGCUCGAAAGCGUGGGGAGCAAACAGGAUUAGAUACCCUGGUAGUCCACGCCGUAAACGAUGAGUGCUAAGUGUUGGAGGGUUUCCGCCCUUCAGUGCUGCAGCAAACGCAUUAAGCACUCCGCCUGGGGAGUACGACCGCAAGGUUGAAACUCAAAGGAAUUGACGGGGGCCCGCACAAGCGGUGGAGCAUGUGGUUUAAUUUCGAAGCAACGCGAAGAAUCUUUACCAGGUCUUGACAUCCUUUGACCACUCUAGAGAUAGAGCUUUCCCUU